AUUGAACGCUGGCGGCAUGCCUAACACAUGCAAGUCGAGCGGUUGAAGUGAGCUUGCUCCUGGAUUCAGCGGCGGACGGGUUAGUAAUGCCUAGGAAUCUGCCUGGUAGUGGGGGAUAACGUCCGGAAACGGGCGCUAAUACCUCAUACGUCCUGAGGGAGAAAAUGAGGGAUCUUCGGACCUCACGCUAUCAUAUGCUCCUAGGUCGGUUUCGCUAGUUGGUGGGGUAAAGGCAUACCAAGGCGAGUUUCCAUAACGGGUCUGAGAGGAUGAUCAGUCAAACUGGAACUGAGACACGGCCCAGACUCCUAGGGGAGGCGGAGGUGGGGAAUAUUGGACAAUGGGCGAAAGCCUGCUCAAGACAGGCGGCGUGUGUGAAGAAGGUCUCCGGAUGGUAAAGCACUUUAAGGUGGAAGAAAGGGCAGUAAGUGAAAUCAUAGCUGUUUGGACGUAACCAACAGAAUAAGCACCGGCAAAUUCGGU
rnacentral:rRNA from 1 species